AUUGAACGCUAGCGGGAUGCUUUACACAUGCCAGUCGAACGGCAGCGCGGACUUCGGUCUGGCGGCGAGUGGCGAACGGGUGAGUAAUGUAUCGGAACGUGCCCAGUAGCGGGGGAUAACUACGCGAAAGCGUAGCUAAUACCGUAUACGCCCUACGGGGGAAAGCAGGGGAUCGUAAGACCUUGCACUAUUGGAGCGGCCGAUAUCGGAUUAGCUAGUUGGUGAGGUAACGGCUCACCAAGGCGACGAUCCGUAGCUGGUUUGAGAGGACGACCAGCCACACUGGGACUGAGACACGGCCCAGACUCCUACGGGAGGCAGCAGUGGGGAAUUUUGGACAAUGGGGGCAACCCUGAUCCAGCCAUCCCGCGUGUGCGAUGAAGGCCUUCGGGUUGUAAAGCACUUUUGGCAGGAAAGAAACGUCGCGGGCUAAUACCCCGUGGAACUGACGGUACCUGCAGAAUAAGCACCGGCUAACUACGUG
rnacentral:rRNA from 1 species